GGCGCUGUGGCACAGCAGGCUAAAGCCCUGGCCUGAAGCGCCAGCAUCCAUAUGGGUGCUGGUUCUAGUCCUGCCUGCUCCU
rnacentral:tRNA from 1 species